AGAACGAACGCUGGCGGCAGGCCUAACACAUGCAAGUCGAACGCCCCGCAAGGGGAGUGGCAGACGGGUGAGUAACACGUGGGAACCUUCCUAUUAGUAUGGAAUAGACCAGGGAAACUUGGAUUAAUACCGUAUAUGCCCUAAGGGGGAAAGAUUUAUCGCUAAUAGAUGGGCCCGCGUAAGAUUAGCUAGUUGGUGAGGUAAUGGCUCACCAAGGCUACGAUCUUUAGCUGGUUUGAGAGAAUGAUCAGCCACACUGGAACUGAGACACGGUCCAGACUCCUACGGGAGGCAGCAGUGGGGAAUAUUGGACAAUGGGCGCAAGCCUGAUCCAGCCAUGCCGCGUGAAUGAUGAAGGCCUUCGGGUUGUAAGUUCUUUAGUGGAGAAAAUAUGAUGGUAUCACAGAAAAGCCCGGACUAACUUCGUGCCAGCAGCCGC
rnacentral:rRNA from 1 species